rnacentral:lncRNA from 1 species
GUGAAAAUUCCGCAAGCAUGUCAUAUCACUAGAAUCAACAUAAAAUGUAUUGUGUUAAGAAAACAAAAUAAUACAUAUUUAAAACAUAAAGGGAAAGAAUUUUAUUUAGUUAAAAUAAAAGAUAGAAGUGAGGGUGCAUCUUAGCAAGGCUGCUAACGUGCACUGGCGGUAGAACCAACAUGACCCGAUCAGAAAUCACUACGCCGGCAAAGAUUGUAACACCUAAGGAUGGUAUUAGAUAUAAUCUUCCCUCAAUUACUUUUGGAAACUUCUUACCCCCAAAAUUCAAAUCAAUACCCGAAGAAGAUGAAAACACAUCGUCAAGUUCUAUCUCUCCUAGAAUAGUACAUCUGAGAACCUAAGGUGC